AGAAUCAACGCUGGCGGCGUGCCUCAGACAUGCAAGUCGAACGAUUAAACUUUCCUUCGGGAAAGAUAUAAAGUGGCGCACGGGUGAGUAACACGUAAGUAAUCUACCUUUGAGUGGGGAAUAACCCGGGGGAAACCCAGCUAAUACCGCAUAAUGCAGCGGCACCGCAAGGUGACAGUUGUUAAAGGAGCAAGUCCGACUUAAAGAGGAGCUUGCGGCAGAUUAGCUAGUUGGAACGGUAUGGCUUACCAAGGCUACGAUCUAGUAACCGGUCUAAGAGGUACGGUCGGU
rnacentral:rRNA from 1 species